rnacentral:rRNA from 1 species
CAUGGCUCAGGAUGAACGCUGGCGGCGCGCCUAACACAUGCAAGUCGAACGAUUAAAGCACCUUCGGGUGUGUAUAAAGUGGCGAACGGCUGAGUAACACGUGGGCAACCUGCCCCUCUCAUUGGGAUAGCCACGGGAAACCGUGGAUAAUACCGAAUACUUCGGGACUUCCGCAUGGAAGACUCGAGAAAGCUCCGGCGGAGAGGGAUGGGCCCGCGGCCUGUUAGCUUGUUGGUGGGGUAACGGCCUACCAAGGCAAUGAUGGGUAGCUGGGUUGAGAGACCGACCAGCCAGAUUGGGACUGAGACACGGCCCAGACUCCUACGG